CCUUUCAUUUAACCACAAUCAAUCAUACUCACUAGCAAGUUAUCAUCACAAGGACUUUUUAUGCCUUGUAACGUGGUUGGGCUAAGAAGAACAUUGGUUUUUCUGGAUCACAAAAUCCUUGAGUUAAGAGAGCUAUUCACAUUUAUAGUUUAAACACAAACUCUCUUUAAACAACCAAUCUCACUCAUUCCCAACUUUCCCUUUUCUUUGCAUUGAGCUUUUCUUCUCAUUUUAUCUUUUUUUCUUUUUUUCUUUCUUUUUCAUUUUUUUUAUGUUUUGCUCAACACAUUAGCCCAAUGCUUAUCUUUUUCUUUUUCAACUUUCCCAACAGCCCCAAACUUGAACCUUUAUCAAUACCACACAAUAAUUCUCAGCUUAACUCAAGGUAAAGAUUUGCAAAAGGGUUUUUUCAUAACGUAUAAGGCUUAGGUUCAAAAAGGGUAGAACACAUUGUGCUCUUUUUAAUUAAGGCGAAACUUUUUGCAUUGGCUAAGAAAGGGCUAAAUCAAAAAUGGCCUUGAUCAUAUGACAAUUGCAAGCAAGUGAUUUAAUCAUAGAAACCUGGGCAAAGUCAUUCAUGCUUUCAAAGUAAUAGCAAUCUUUCAAUCAAAAACUCUGGAGUUUCAAACCUCACAUAUGCUAAUUUCAAGUUCCAAUACAUAUAUACAUAUCCUGCCCAAUAUCAUAAUCACAAUCAUGUUAUCAUGCAUCUGUUCACACAUAUUGUGAACCACCAACUGUAUAUAACAUCUCAUAUAUCACCUCAACAUCAAUUAAUAUAAAAGCAUCAUCAA
rnacentral:lncRNA from 1 species